rnacentral:rRNA from 1 species
AGUGAACGCUGGCGGUAGGCCCAACACAUGCAAGUCGAACGGCAGCACAGGAGAGCUUGCUCUCUGGGUGGCGAGUGGCGGACGGGUGAGGAAUACAUCGGAAUCUACUUUUUCGUGGGGGAUAACGUAGGGAAACUUACGCUAAUACCGCAUACGACCUACGGGUGAAAGCAGGGGAUCUUCGGACCUUGCGCGAUUGAAUGAGCCGAUGUCGGAUUAGCUAGUUGGCGGGGUAAAGGCCCACCAAGGCGACGAUCCGUAGCUGGUCUGAGAGGAUGAUCAGCCACACUGGAACUGAGACACGGUCCAGACUCCUACGGGAGGCAGCAGUGGGGAAUAUUGGACAAUGGGCGCAAGCCUGAUCCAGCCAUACCGCGUGGGUGAAGAAGGCCUUCGGGUUGUAAAGCCCUUUUGUUGGGAAAGAAAUCCAGCUGGUUAAUACCCGGUUGGGAUGACGGUACCCAAAGAAUAAGCACCGGCUAACUUCGUGCCAGCAGCCGCAGUAAAAC